GGUAUGGUUCUCUUUACUGUAAAAUUAGUGUAAGAAUAACAUCUCACAUUUAAUUUUAAUAAGAGAUAGAAAG